rnacentral:rRNA from 1 species
AGAGUUUGAUCAUGGCUCAGAACGAACGCUGGCGGCGUGGAUAAGACAUGCAAGUCGAACGCUGAUUUCAGGGUAGCAAUAUUCUGGAGUCGGAGUGGCGCAAGGGUGCGUAACACGUGGGUAAUUUACCGUAAAGUCUGGGACAACUUGCUGAAAGGCAAGCUAAUACCGGAUGUGAUUGUUUGGGGGCAUCUCCGGACAAUUAAAGUUGGGGACCGUAAGGCCUGACGCUUUUCGAUAAGCCCGCGGCCUAUCAGCUAGUUGGUAAGGUAACGGCUUACCAAGGCUAAGACGGGUAGCUGGUCUGAGAGGACGACCAGCCUCACUGGAACUGAGACACGGUCCAGACACCUACGGGUGGCAGCAGUCGAGAAUUUUUCUCAAUGGGCGAAAGCCUGAAGGAGCGACGCCGCGUGGGGGAUGGAGGGCUUCGGUCCGUAAACCCCUGUCAUUUGCGAACAAACCUUUUUACUUAACACGUGGAAAGCUGAUUGUAGCGAAAGAGGAAGGGACGGCUAACUCUGUGCCAGCAGCCGCGGUAAUACAGAGGUCCCAAGCGUUGUUCGGAUUCACUGGGCGUAAAGGGUGCGUAGGUGGUUGAUUAAGUUUGAUGUGAAAUCUCCGAGCUCAACUCGGAAACUGCAUUGAAUACUAUUCGACUAGAGGUUUGGAGGGGGGACUGGAAUUCUCGGUGUAGCAGUGAAAUGCGUAGAUAUCGAGAGGAACACCAGUGGCGAAGGCGAGUCCCUGGACAACACCUGACACUGAGGCACGAAAGCUAGGGGAGCAAACAGGAUUAGAUACCCCCGUAGUCC